rnacentral:rRNA from 1 species
UACGUAGGCAGCAAGCGUUGUUCGGAGUUACUGGGCGUAAAGGGUGUGUAGGCGGUUCUCUAAGUCUGGUGUGAAAUCUCCCGGCUCAACUGGGAGGGUGCGCCGAAAACUGGAGGACUAGAGUGCGGGAUGGGAGAGUGGAAUUCCUGGUGUAGCGGUGAAAUGCGUGGAUAUCAGGAGGAACACCUGUGGUGUAGACGGCUCUCUGGACCGCAACUGACGCUGAGGCGCGAAGGCCAGGGGAGCAAACGGG